GUGUGACUUCGGCCAUCGCUCUGGUAGUCCCGGUAGCUGACGAACUCCUGCCAAGGGCAGCGGUAGCCCUUGGAGAUGGCGGUGUGGUUGAACUUCUCUGGCGGGACGCCCUUCAGCGGCUCCGCAUAGCCUAGGGGCGCGGGGGGAAGGGAGCGCCUCCGUUCUUCCACCCUCAGCCCCCAACCCCACCUCGCCCCACCCCCAUUCCGCGGACGCGGUUGGAGGAGGGAAGAUCGGAGUUAGGGGAGAGGACGGCGGGAAUGGGAAGCCACAGUUGCUCCAGCACAGGAGACCCCUCCCCAUCCCAGGAAACACGGAGGACUGCAGUGAGGAAGCCACGAGUUCGCAGCGCGGGUCUUUGCCCAUAAUGGUGGAGGUAGUGAGAAAUGGUCAGAUUCUCGAUAUUUUUUAAAGCAGUUUCUAUGGAGUGUUUGGGUGUGAAAGCCUAACUGGAGAGGGUUCAAGAGAAAAUGGACAGAAGAACAAGUUUAACCACACCAUGAGGAAGCGAUAAGCCAAAUCCAGGACGCAGGACAUUCUACAGGACAACUGGCCUGGUUUUUCAAACAAACGAGUUUCACUCUUGUUGCCCAGGCUGGAGUGCAAUGGCAUGAUCUCGGCUCACUGCAACCUCUGCCUCCCGGGUUCAAGCGAUUCUCCUGCCUCAGCCUCCCGAGUAGCUGGAAUUGCAGGCAUGCACCAUCACGCCUGGCUAAUUUUGUAUUUAUAGUAGAGAUGGGGUUUCUCCAUGUUGGUCAGGCUGGUCUCGAGCUCCCAACCUCAGGUCAUCCGCUUGCCUCAGUCUCCCAAAGUGCUGGGAUUACAGGCGUGAGCCACCUCCCCCAGCUGAGCUCAAUAUUUAAAAAAAAAAAAUGGCAGGCACAGUGGCUCACAACUAUAAUCCCAGCACUUGCAGAGGGCAAAGUGGGUGGAUUGCUUGGGCCCAGGAGUUCAAGACCAGCCUGGGCAAUAUAGCAAGACCCUGUCUCUAUUAAAAAAUAAAAAAAGAUAAAAUCUAUUUGACUGAGUAUUUCUAUUUCUAGGAAUUUAUUCUCGGGGAAAAAGUUGAAUAAAUAUGUCCAAAGAUA
rnacentral:lncRNA from 1 species